rnacentral:rRNA from 1 species
UACGUAGGUGGCAAGCGUUGUCCGGAUUUACUGGGCGUAAAGAGCGCGCAGGCGGUCGUUCAAGUCGAGUGUGAAAGCCCCCGGCUCAACUGGGGAGGGUCAUUCGAUACUGAUCGACUCGAAGGCAGGAGAGGGAAGUGGAAUUCCCGGUGUAGUGGUGAAAUGCGUAGAUAUCGGGAGGAACACCAGUGGCGAAGGCGACUUCCUGGCCUGUUCUUGACGCUGAGGCGCGAAAGCCAGGGGAGCGAACGGG